UACGAAGGGGGCUAGCGUUGCUCGGAAUCACUGGGCGUAAAGCGCACGUAGGCGGACUCUUAAGUCGGUGGUGAAAUCCUGGAGCUCAACUCCAGAACUGCCUUCGAUACUGAGAGUCUUGAGUCCGGGAGAGGUGAGUGGAACUGCGAGUGUAGAGGUGAAAUUCGUAGAUAUUCGCAAGAACACCAGUGGCGAAGGCGGCUCACUGGCCCGGUACUGACGCUGAGGUGCGAAAGCGGUGGGGAGCAAACAGGG
rnacentral:rRNA from 1 species